CCUACGGGAGGCAGCAGUGAGGAAUAUUGGUCAAUGGCCGGAAGGCUGAACCAGCCAAGCCGCGUGAGGGAUGAAGGCGCAGAGCGUCGCAGACCUCUUUUGCCGGGGGACAAAAGGCCGGACGGGUCCGGUUCUGAGGGUACCCGGAGAAAAAGCAUCGGCUAACUCCGUGCCAGCAGCCGCGGUAAUACGGAGGAUGCGAGCGUUAUCCGGAUUCAUUGGGUUUAAAGGGUGCGCAGGCGGGCCUUUAAGCCUGCGGUGAAAUCGCGGGGCUCAACCCAGCCGCGCCUUGGGAACUGGGGGCCUUGAGUGCGGUGGAGGCAUGCGGAAUGCGCGGUGUAGCGGUGAAAUGCAUAGAUAUCGCGCAGAACCCCGAUUGCGAAGGCAGCGUGCCGUGCCGCCACUGACGCUGAGGCACGAAAGCGCGGGGAUCGAACAGGAUUAGAUACCCUUGUAGUC
rnacentral:rRNA from 1 species